AACGAACGCUGGCGGCAGGCUUAACACAUGCAAGUCGAACGCGUGCAGCAAUGCACGAGUGGCGCACGGGUGCGUAACGCGUGGAUAUCUGCCUUUUGGUUCGGAAUAACCCCGGGAAACUGGGGCUAAUACCGGAUGGUUCCUACGGGAUAAAGAUUUAUCGCCAAAAGAUGAGUCCGCGUCCGAUUAGCUAGUUGGUGAGGUAAUGGCUCACCAAGGCGACGAUCGGUAGCUGGUCUGAGAGGACGAUCAGCCACACUGGGACUGAGACACGGCCCAGACUCCUACGGGAGGCAGCAGUGGGGAAUAUUGGACAAUGGGGGCAACACUGAUCCAGCCAUGCCGCGUGAGUGAUGAAGGCCUUCGGGUUGUAAAGCUCUUUUGGCGGGGACGAUGAUGACGGUACCCGCAGAAUAAGCCCCGGCUAACUUCGU
rnacentral:rRNA from 1 species